AAUGAACGUUGGCGGCGUGGAUUAGGCAUGCAAGUCGAGCGAGAACCGUAGCAAUACGGGGAAAGCGGCGCAAGGGACAGUAAUGUGUAGGUACCUACCCCUGGGUUCGGGAUAGCCGCGGGAAACUGCGGGUAAUACCGAAUAACGUCUUCGGACCAAAGGUGUGAUUCCACCUGGGGAGGGGCCUGCAUCCUAUUAGCUAGUUGGUGGGGUAACGGCUCACCAAGGCCAUGAUGGGUAGCAGGUGUGAGAGCACGACCUGCGUCACUGGGACUGAGACACUGCCCAGACACCUACGGGUGGCUGCAGUCGAGAAUCUUCGGCAAUGGGCGCAAGCCUGACCGAGCGACGCCGCGUGCGGGAUGAAGGCCUUCGGGUUGUAAACCGCUGUCAGUGGGGAGGAAGGCUCCGUGAAGAACGGGGUUUGACCUAUCCGCAGAGGAAGUGUGGGCUAAGUUCGUGCCAGCCGCCGCUGUAAGAC
rnacentral:rRNA from 1 species